GUCACACGAGUUUGAUCAUGGCUCAGAAUGAACGUUGGCGGCGUGGAUUAGGCAUGCAAGUCGCGCGACAAGGAACCUUCGGGUUCUGGAGGAGCGGCAAACGGGGUAGUAAGGCAUCGGAACGUACCCUCUUGUUGGGAAUAGCCGCGGGAAACUGCGAGUAAUGCCCAAUAAUCCCUACGGGGCAAAGGUCCGCCGCAGGAGGAGCGGCCGAUGUGAUACCAGCUAGUUGGUGAGGUAAUGGCUCACCAAGGCUUAGACGUCUAGGGGGGUGUGAGAGCAUGGGCCCCCCACCACUGGGACGUGAGAUACUGCCCACGACACCUACGGGUGGGCUGCAGUCGAGAAUCUUCGGCAAUGGGCGAAAGCCUGACGGAGCGACGCCGCGUGGUGGAUGAAGGCCCUUGGGUUGUAAACACCUGUCAGAGGGGAGUGAAAUCAUGGUUUGGCAAAUCCCUCCAUGUUGACAGAGCCUCAGAGGAAGCACGGGCUAAGUACGUG
rnacentral:rRNA from 1 species